rfam:Pteropus alecto contig104239, whole genome shotgun sequence.
CCAAAGGCUCUUUUCAGAGCCAUUCACGUUUUCUCAAAGUGAGCUG